UCAUUUGAAUGGAUGCAGGCAUCUUCCAGAGGUCUGGUGGCAUAUUUGGGAAUCACAGCUGUCUGCAUUCCACUGCACCUCUAUUUAAAGCGACCUUUGCUGCAAACCUCCAAUUGUUGUUCCAUUCCAAUAAAACUUGUAAAACCAACAGGACGCUAUGAGCAACACGGCCCAGCUGAGCGCCUCUCGGUAUGUCGUCCCGGUCCUGCUCAUGGUGGGCUGGGUAGUGGGAUGUGCGGUAGUGGUCUAUUUUGUAUUUUCAUAGGAAGAAAUAUAAAAAGAGACUAAGAACAACAUGUCACAAGAAUCAAGAUCUGUUUAGUAUGUGUGAAUAUCCUGAAGCAAAUUGAGCAUCCUCAUGUAAAUACAAAACAUGCUUUAAAUAACCUGUAAUGCUGUACCAAACAAGCUUUGUUUUCAUUUUUCUGAGCUGUCAUCCAUGUUUUUAGAGGCAUUUAUGAGAUAGUCAACUGAUUUGUCAGUUAACAAAUUGUAUUAAAUGAAUUCCUUUGUUUUAUUUUUUAUAGACAUAAUGCUAUUCAUUAUCUACAUAAGAUCUUACAACAACUGUAAUGGCCAUUUAUGAGGGUUUAUCUUUUUCCCUUUGUAUUUCAAACACUGAUGAUUAUCAUAUCAGUAAUGUGGACUGUGAAUAUCAAAUAAUUACCUUUGUUACCCAAAGAAUGAGCAAGAAACCAACGAACUUCACUACUUUAAUCAAUUUACUAUUUUAAAUAUAUUCCUUUUUAAGAGUGCAAUAACCCAAUUUAUUAACAUAAUAGAAGUAAUUAAGUCCUGCAAUACCAUAUAUUCUCUUAUUUAGUUGGAAAUUACACAAUCUCAUUUAGUCGGCUUUAUGCCAGAGCUGUGCUUGGUUUAAUCUACUAGCACAUUACUCUUUGGGCACACUCAACAUAAUUGUUAAAAACAUUGAGCAUUUUCAGUAAAUUGUUACAAGCAUGCCAGAGGUCACUAAUUUGAAGACAGAUUUGAGCAUUAGGUGCUGUGAGUGAUACAGUUUCCCUGGUAACAGGAAAAUCAUAGCCCUUUCCAAGAAUCCAUCUUCUAAAUUGGGAGAGCUUUUACAGUGAUACAUAGUACUGUAUAUCUAUAUGAACAACUAACGCAAAGCCUUAAAUGCAUAGUAGUCCCCCAUAGUGAUUCAUCAGAAACUCCUCAGUAACUGAUUGUCUUUCUGAUAAAUUAUUUGUACACGAUAAAACACAAUACAUAAAAGUCAUGUUUUUCGAACCACAAUCCAUUUACUUUUGUUUUUCCUUGGCAAAACAAUGUUGAUCUAUUUGCAGCAUUUAUCCUUAAAGGAGAGGACAGUGCCACUAAUGAUAUGUAACAUGCAAAGACAGAUGUACACAUGCAGUAUGUCUUUUAGAUUCCUCUGUAAAACACUACUGUUAUUAUUUUUCCAUUAAGAAGGCCGCUGACACACAGAUCACCUCAGAUGAAUUAGUUCAGAAGUUUGUCCACAGUUUGUUCACAGAGAAAGCCUCAUGCGUUUGUGCCAUUUCUUUAAGAGCCCAUUGACAUGCAGAGGUAACAGAUUGAAUAACCAAAGAGAGAAGAUUUCAGGACCAUCUAGUAGAGUGGCAGCAGUAGGAGGCUAAGAAUAGCUUUAAAGUGUCAUUUCUAAUGCCUCCUAAUACCAUUUGCACCCUAUUACUGUGAAAUACUGUACAUUUCAAAGCCAGACCUUGAAAAACAUCUGUCAUUUCCUGAUUAUGUAAACACAUAUACUAUUUUUUUUCAUUAAAACAGUGUUGGGGAUAAAAUUGCCUAACAUAUAACCACCGGUUCCAAGAUACAGUCUGCUGCAGGCCUGUAAUCCUAGUCCUUGAAGACGGGGAAAAAAAAUAGAAAAUGGACUGGCCUCCAUAUUUGUAUUAAAUGACUCAUUUAAUAAGCAA